rnacentral:rRNA from 1 species
AAUGAACGUUGGCGGCGUGGAUUAGGCAUGCAAGUCGAGCGAGAACCGUAGCAAUACGGGGACAGCGGCGAAAGGGAGAGGAAUACGCGGGUACCUACCCUCGGAUCUGGGAUAGCCACGGGAAACUGUGGGUAAUACCAGAUGAUGUCUGCGAGAUAACAUCUCGCGGACCAAAGGUGUGAUUCCGUCCGAGGAGGGGCCCACGUCCUAUUAGCUAGUUGGUGGGGUAACGGCCUACCAAGGCAUUGAUGGGUACGGGGCGUGAGAGCGUGCCCCCGCUCACUGGGACUGAGACACUGCCCAGACACCUACGGGUGGCUGCAGUCGAGGAUCUUCGGCAAUGGGCGCAAGCCUGACCGAGCGACGCCGCGUGCGGGAUGAAGGCCUUCGGGUUGUAAACCGCCGUCGGAAGGGAGGAAAUGCUUAGGGGUUCUCCCCUAGGUUUGACCUAUCUUCAGAGGAAGUACGGGCUAAGUUCGUGCCAGCCGCCGCAGUAAUAC